UGAGCAAUCUGCCCUUCUCUUCGGAAUAAGCGUGGGAAACCGCGUCUAAUGCCGAAUACGACCUCCUUUCGCAUGAUCGGAGGUGGAAAGCUCCGGCGGAGAAGGAUGAGCUCGCGGCCUAUCAGCUAGUUGGUGUGGGUAAUGGCCCACCAAGGCGACGACGGGUAGCCGGCCUGAGAGGGUGACCGGCCACACUGGGACUGAGACACGGCCCAGACUCCUACGGGAGGCAGCAGG
rnacentral:rRNA from 1 species